AUUUGAGUAGUUUAUAGAAUAUUGUGCUGAAGACACAGGGGAAAAUUUUUAUUUCUUAAAUA
rnacentral:tRNA from 1 species